GGCCUCCCUCUGUGGGGCAAUCAAUCGCUGAGCUCUGCAAUUGAUCGCCCAGCAGAGGCAGGCC
rfam:Myotis lucifugus cont2.36830, whole genome shotgun sequence.